rnacentral:rRNA from 1 species
CCCUUAGAUGUCCUGGGCCGCACGCGUGCUACACUGAUGCAUACAGCGAGUACUUUCCAGCUCCGCGAGGCAGCUGGUAAUCAGCAAUAUGCAUCGUGCUGGGGAUAGAUCUUUGGAAUUAUAGAUCUUGAACGAGGAAUUCCUAGUAAGCGCAAGUCAUUAGCUUGCGCUGAUUAAGUCCCUGCCCUUUGUACACACCGCCCGUCGCUCCUACCGAUUUCGAGUGAUUCGGUGAACCUUUUGGACAGCGUCUGUCCUCGUGUCAGAUGCUGAAAGUCAAGUAAACCAUAUCACUUAGGGGAAGGAGAAGUCGUAACA